CAGAGACGGCGAGCUUGAGCGGGGAGUUCUUUGUCCUGAGUGAGCAGGAGAGAGCCAUCGGAGGUUACAGCUAUAGAUCACUGGUUCUGAGUGAUUAGGAGAGUGUGGGACUCAGCUCACUUGGACUCAGUCCAACUACAAUGUGCAGUUUGGGGGAUGAAGACCUUCACAGAUGCUUUGAGUAAUUCUACUCCAACAUACCAUCCAGGAGAACAAGUAUAGCUGUCCACCUGAGAUCUGCGCCUCCACCUGCCCUGUAAGAAGCAGAGUCCCCGCUACAUUCCUCUGUUUCCAAUACAGAGGCAGAUCUAUGAGGUCACCUACGAACUCUAACUCCCAUUCAGCAGCAUUCUAGAUUGUUCUUGCUGCUAGCCAACACCAUCAGCUACCUGGAUGAUGCGCUCUGUGUACCGUCAUCAGAAGAUGAUCCUGGAAAGUAUUUUGCCAUCUUUUGUGGAGUAGACACUGGCAAAGCACAGUGCAACUCCGGACCUAGAGCACAGUACAUCAUCUCCCCACUGUGCAGAGCUAAAGCCCGAGCCCACCAAUGACGGAGAGCUCAUUCCCGCUGCUAUCAAGGAGCAAGCACAGUGCUGAGCGACUGAGUGGAGGAUCGCCCCGGAAGCAGAGACCAACCAAUCAGACCAGAAGCGUGAGCUGGCUACAACGCCCAUUGUGAUAGAUAAAGCCACAGACAGUGUGGAGUGGAGCUUAGCCCCUGAUUAUGUUCUGAUUGGGUUUAUGUUCCAUUGAUGUCUCUUGAUGAUGAUUAAAUGAUGA